GAGACUUGGUGCUAGGGUCUGGCCUUGAGGACUGCCCAAGCCACAUGAAGGUGGCCCCAGGCUGUGAUUUUUGGUGCGUGCUUGGAGAGGGAGUCUGGGCACCCUCCCUGCACAGGGGCAGGCUGUGCGUCUGCCAGGUCUACAGUGGCGCCUAGCUUCAGAGCAAGCUUCCUUGGUUGGCCUUAGCUGGUUGGUGGCCCUGGCUCCUACCCAGGGGUCACAAUGCAGCCCAGGAAGUGCAGGGAAGCCGGCUUGGACAGUGGAGGUGCUCCAGGGGCCUGCGGUAGGGCACAGCCUCGGCAUCUUGCCUGAGCCUAGUUACUCGCCUGUCCUGUCCUUCCAGGGUUUGGUGGUGGGGAGAUACAAGGGUUCCCCAGGUCCAUAACUGUCCUCGUUUCACAUGGAUCCCAUCACAUGAGUCCACGGAUGUAGAGCAUGUGUAGCCAGCAGCCCCUCCCCGCUUUCCUGCAUGGAAUCUUAAGGCCCUAUUUGGACACCUUUCCCCGUCCCUCCAGAUGGUGAGCACAGAGGAAGAAUUGCGUUAGGCCCUUUGGCCCCGGACCAGUGUCUGCCAGCCACGUGCUCAGCCUCCCGUGCGCUAAAGCUCAGGUCCUUCCUGUCAUCCUGGUAUCCUGCACUGAGGUGUGUGAGCUCUUCCCCCCAGCAGGCCCCCUGGGAUUGACUGGCAAA
ensembl:lncRNA SNHG14 small nucleolar RNA host gene 14